AAAGUGGGAGCAGGGAAGGCAGCUGCCUGGUCCUGCCCAGGGAAGGAGCUGUGGGGGACACUGCUUCUCCUUUUUGCAAGCUCCUGGCCUCGUCUCGGCUGCAUUGGACUGCACGAUGAAUGAUCUGUCCACGGCUUCCUGGCGGCUGGGGGCAAAUCCAGGCGAGACGACUCUGGGCUCCAGGAGGGCUGCCUCGGUGAAGCAGGCUCUGCCCGGCACAGCGAGCGAGGAGAGGGUGGAUCACAGCCCUCAGAACCACAUUGCUGGCUCUCCAGCUCUGAGCUUUAAGUUUUUGAGUACCAGUACCUGGCAUG